UACGGGGGGGGCAAGCGUUGUUCGGAAUUACUGGGCGUAAAGGGCUCGUAGGCGGCCAACUAAGUCAGACGUGAAAUCCCUCGGCUUAACCGGGGAACUGCGUCUGAUACUGGAUGGCUUGAGAUUGGGAGAGGGAUGCGGAAUUCCAGGUGUAGCGGUGAAGUGCGUAGAUAUCUGGAGGAACACCGGUGGCGAAGGCGGCAUCCUGGACCAACACUGACGCUGAGGAGCGAAAGCCAGGGGAGCAAACGGG
rnacentral:rRNA from 1 species